GUAGGGUGCGAGCGUUAAUCGGAAUUACUGGGCGUAAAGCGUGCGCAGGCGGUUUAGUAAGACAGGCGUGAAAUCCCCGGGCUCAACCUGGGAACUGCGCUUGUGACUGCUAAGGCUAGAGUACGGCAGAGGGGGGUGGAAUUCCACGUGUAGCAGUGAAAUGCGUAGAGAUGUGGAGGAACACCAAUGGCGAAGGCAGCCCCCUGGGUCGAUACUGACGCUCAUGCACGAAAGCGUGGGUAGCAAACAGGAUUAGAUACCCUGGUAGUCCACGCCCUAAACGAUGUCAACUAGGUGUUGGGAGGGUAAAACCUUUUAGUACCGGAGCUAACGCGUGAAGUUGACCGCCUGGGGAGUACGGCCGCAAGGUUA
rnacentral:rRNA from 1 species